rnacentral:rRNA from 1 species
UACGUAGGGUGCAGGCGUUAAUCGGAAUUACUGGGCGUAAAGCGUGCGCAGGCGGUUUGCUAAGACAGGUGUGAAAUCCCCGGGCUUAACCUGGGAACUGCGCUUGUAACUGGCAAGCUGGAGUGUGGCAGAGGAGACUGGAAUUCCUGGUGUAGCAGUGAAAUGCGUAGAUAUCAGGAGGAAUACCGAUGGCGAAGGCAGGUCUCUGGGCUGACACUGACGCUCAUGCACGAAAGCGUGGGGAGCAAACAGG